CAAUAACCUCUUCCUAGAUCCAGAGACUCAGACCCUCCAGUCUUAUACCAUGGCCAUUGGGCAAUUUCAACAAAAUAUAUGCUUGUGGUGUGUCAAACAGGACCCAAAAGAUUCUAAAGAGCCACCACUAUAUGCUCCAGAGACUCAAGUCCUAAUUGAAGUCUGGAAAGUUGGGUCCCCAAAAGGCUCAACUCCAGCCCACAUGGAAGGGCCCCUACCCUAUAGUACUUUCUACCACCACAGCAGUCAAGGUACUAGGACAUAAUUCCUGGAUUCACUACUCAUGAGUCAAGCUGUGGAAGAAAACAGAAGAGGACACUCAAUACACCUGUCAACAAGCACAACAUGUGGUGCCAGUUCAACAAGGAUAUAUAAAACUACAGCUGACCAUGGAAAAUAUCACUCACCCUUAUAUGGACACCGCUAUAAGGACUCUGAGGCUUGAGACUAGCAAGAGGGGGAGGCCCAAUGCCCCUUGCUGUCCCAGUUCAGCAGGAAGUAGCCAGAGAGACCUUGAUGCCCCAUUCCCAAAGAAUUGGGCCUCCCAUCUCUUGAGGGGGGAAUGUUAGGUAGUUAGAAUAGGAAAAAGGAGUCCAUAAUGGCUGUGGCUAAAAGACAAAGAAAGGAAAAAGCCCGUGAAAAUAGAACAAAGGAAGUUCGGAGGACUGGAGUGAGAACCUCAGGUGAAACAAACAGCCCUCCUGGCUAGCCCAAUUUACAUAGGGCAAACUCAGGGGGAGGAGAAAAAACAUAUAAAAAGAGGAGCCAAAAUUGAGCUGGCUUCUCUUCUCUUUGUGUCUUUUGGGUCAGCCCACCCUCAUGCCUCAAGGAUGUAUUUUCGUUUACUUGCCAAAUAAAACUGAGCUGUAACACUGAUCUGUCUGUCACUUCAAAUUUUUGCUGUAGCAAGACAGAACUGAGGAAAUUGCACACUCCCCUGACAGUAACAAAUAAUUUUAGUGUGAAAAGAAGUGAAAGUGUUACUUGCUCAGUCGUUUCUGACUCUGCGACUCCAUGGACUGUAACCCAUCAGGCUCCCCUGUCUAUGGGAUUCUCCAG
ensembl:lncRNA